AAGUGACAUUUUGUUCUGUUUGAUGUAGAUUCAGUAAGGCUUUUUGCACACCAGCUUUGAAGAAAGUCUUCUUAAACAGAAGGCCAAGAAGAAAAGCAGAUAAACAGACAGGAACACAUGUUCCUGGUCCAUUGCACAAUAUCUAAAAGAGAUGAAACACAUUACAAAAAUUGCUAAGAAGCUGAACACAUCCUCUUUGCAUCCUAGAAUUUUGAAAUCAGAGUAGUAUACUGUGAUUUCAAGCCUCCUUCUGAACCUGAUUGCAAGCACACCCACGCUGGGACCUUAAACCCUACUCUACAAUCUACUGAGAGUGAAGAUCUGUUUUUAUAUAUUUGGUGAGUAAGGACAUAAACCAAGCACACAUGCUGCCUUUUUGCAUUUCAAAGAAACUUUUCCAUAUCUAUAUAAUGCGUUUCCUGGAAAGUUGGAUUAAUUUGCAUGAAUG